GGCUUAGAGUUUGAUCAUGGCUCAGGACGAACGCUGGCGGCGCGCCUAACACAUGCAAGUCGAACGGAGUUGAGAGGAGCUUGCUUUUCUUGACUUAGUGGCGAACGGGUGAGUAACGCGUGAGGAACCUGCCUCAAAGAGGGGGACAACAGUUGGAAACGACUGCUAAUACCGCAUAAGCCCACGGUCCCGCAUGGGAGAGAGGGAAAAGGAGCAAUCCGCUUUGAGAUGGCCUCGCGUCCGAUUAGCUAGUUGGUGAGGUAACGGCCCACCAAGGCGACGAUCGGUAGCCGGACUGAGAGGUUGAACGGCCACAUUGGGACUGAGACACGGCCCAGACUCCUACGGGAGGCAGCAGUGGGGAACAUUGCACAAUGGGGGAAACCCUGAUGCAGCGACGCCGCGUGGAGGAAGAAGGUCUUCGGAUUGUAAACUCCUGUUGUUGGGGAAAAAGAGGAUGGUACCCAGCAAGAAAGUGACGGCUAACUACGUGCCAGCAGCCGCGGUAAAACGUAGGUCACAAGCGUUGUCCGGAAUUACUGGGUGUAAAGGGAGCGCAGGCGGGUAUGCAAGUUGGGAGUGAAAUACAUGGGCUCAACCCAUGAACUGCUCUCAAAACUGUGUAUCUUGAGUAGUGCAGAGGUAGGCG
rnacentral:rRNA from 1 species